AAAUUAUAAUUCGUUUUAAUAUUAUUGAAGGGAUGCCUUCUUAAACAUCCAUAAAUACUCGGCUUGGAUCCUCUAUCCGACUGAAGAGGACCUUAAUUGGUCCUAGAACGGCCUGAGGUAGAGGGGUUUUAGUCGGUAGGUCCGAGGAUUUCUUCCUCGGGAUUCCGACACUACCCAGUCGUACGGACGGCUGGGUGUCUUUUGAAGAAUUCCCCUCUUCCCCGAAA
rfam:Agrilus planipennis Contig35756, whole genome shotgun sequence.